CCUACGGGAGGCAGCAGUGGGGAAUAUUGCACAAUGGGGGAAACCCUGAUGCAGCGACGCCGCGUGAGCGAAGAAGUAUUUCGGUAUGUAAAGCUCUAUCCGCAGGGACGAAAAUGACGGUACCUGAGUAAGAAGCUCCGGCUAAAUACGUGCCAGCAGCCGCGGUACUACGUAUGGAGCAAGCGUUAUCCGGAUUUACUGGGCGUAAGGGGAGCGUAGGCGGCCUGACAAGUCUGAUGUGAAAUACCGGGGUUCAACCCCGGGGCUGCAUUGGAAACUGGCAGGCUGGAGUGCCGGUGCGGCAGGAGGAAUGCGUAGUGUAGCGGUGAAAUGCGUAGAUAUUAGGCGGAACACCAGUUGCGAAGGCGGCCUGCUGGACGGUGACUGACGCUGAGGCUCGAAAGCGUGGGGAGCAAACAGGAUUAGAUACCCGGGUAGUC
rnacentral:rRNA from 1 species